UCAGAGGAGAAUGGCCAGACUGGUUCGAGCUGAUAGAAAGGCAACAGUGACUCAAAUAACCACCCGUUACAACCAAGGUAGGCAGAAGAGCAUCUCUGAACGCACAGUACGUCAAACUUUGAGGCAGAUGGGCUACAGCAGCAGAAGACCAUGCUGGGUGCCACUCCUUUCAGCUAAGAACAGGAAACUGAGGCUACAAUUUGCACAAGCUCAUCGAAAUUGGACAAUAGAAGAUUGGAAAAACGUUGCCUGGUCUGAUGAGUCUCAAUUUCUGCUGCGACAUUCGGAUGGUAGGGUCAGAAUUUGACGUCAACAACAUGAAAGCAUGGAUCCAUCCUGCCUUGUAUCAACGGUUCAGGCUGGUGGUGGUGGUGUCAUGGUGUGGGGAAUAUUUUCUUGGCACUCUUUGGGCCCCUUGGUACCAAUUGAGCAUCGUUGCAACGCCACAGCCUACCUGAGUAUUGUUGCUGACCAUGUCCAUCCCUUUAUGACCACAAUGUACCCAACUUCUGAUGGCUACUUUCAGCAGGAUAAUGCGCCAUGUCAUAAAGCUGGAAUCAUCUCAGACUGGUUUCUUGAACAUGACAAUGAGUUCACUGUACUCAAAUGGCCUCCACAGUCACCAGAUCUCAAUCCAAUAGAGCAUCUUUGGGAUGUGGUGGAACGGGAGAUUCGCAUCAUGGAUGUGCAGCCGACAAAUCUGCGGCAACUGUGUGAUGCCAUCAUGUCAAUAUGGACCAAGCUCUCUGAGGAAUGCUUCCAGCACCUUGUUGAAUUUAUGCCACGAAGAAUUGAGGCAGUUCUGAAGGCAAAAGGGGGUCCAACCCGUUACUAGCAUGGUGUACCUAAUAAAGUGGCCGGUGAGUGUAUUUGGGGUGUUCGGGCUUCCUGAAGGUAAUACCCGGGUAUUAGGUUUUGGGGCUAGGGUUAGGUUUAAGGUUUUUGGCGUUAGGGUUAAAAUCACCGUCCAAAACCUUUGUAGGAACUCUUUUCCGACCUUUUGGAGUUAGUUAGACCAAAAAAAAAAAAAAAUGAAAAAAAUAUAUUUGGGGUGUUCGGGCUUCCUGAAGGUAAUACCCGGGUAUUAGGUUUUGGGGCUAGGGUUAGGUUUAAGGUUUUUGGUGUUAGGGUUAAAAUCACUGUCCAAUAUUUUUUAAGGAACAUGUUUCAGACCUUUGGGAGUUAGUUAGACAAAAAAAAAAGAAAAAAAAAAUAUUUGGGGUGUUCAAGCUUCCUGAAGGUAAUACCCGGGUAUUAGGUUUUGGGGCUAGGGUAAGGUUUAAGGUUUUUGGCGUAAGGGUUAAAAUCACUGUCUAAUAUUUUUUAAGGAACAUCUUUCAGACCUCUGGGAGUUAGUUAGACAAAAAAAAAGAAAAAGAAAAAAAAAAAAUUGGGGUGUUCGGGCUUCCUGAAGGUAAUACUAGGUUUCCUGGCUAGGGUAAUGUUUAAGGUUUUUGGUGUUAGGGUUAAAAUCAAUGUCCAAAACCUUUGUAGGAACUAUUUUCCAACCUUUUGGAGUUAGUUAGACCAAAAAAAAAAACGAAAAAUGAAAAAAAAUAUUUGGGGUUUUCGGGCUUACUGAAGGUAAUACCCGGAUAUUAGGUUUUGGGGCUAGGGUUAGGUUUAAGGUUUUUGGCGUUAGGGUUAAAAUCACCGUCCAAUAUUUUUUAAGGAACAUCUUUCAGACCUCUGGGAGUUAGUUAGACAAAAAAAAAAGAAAAAGAAAAAAUAAAUUUGGGGUUUUCGAGCUUACUGAAGGUAAUACCCGGGUAUUAGGUUUUGGGGCUAGGGUUAGGUUUAAGGUUUUUGGCGUUAGGGUUAAAAUAACUGUCCAAUAUUUUUUAAGGAACAUGUUUCAGACCUUUGGGAGUUAGUUAGACAAAAAAAAAAAGAAAAAGAAAAAAAAAAUAUUUGGGGUGUUCGGGUUUCCUGAAGGUAAUAUUAGGUAGGUAUUAGGUUAUGGGGCUAGGGUAAGGUUUAAGGUUUUUGGCGUUAGAGUUAAAAUCAGUGUCCAAAACCUUUUUAGGAACAUGUUUAAGACCUUUUGGAGUUGGUUACACCAAAAAAAAAUGUAAAAUGAAGAAAAAAUAUUUGGGGUGUUCGGGCUUCCUGAAGGUAAUACCCGUAUAUUAGGUUUUGGGGCUAGGGUAAGGUUUAAGGUUUUUGGUGUUAGGGUUAAAAUCACUGUCCAAAACCUUUGUAGGAACUCUUUUCCAACCUUUUGGAGUUAGUUAGACCAAAAAAAAAGAAAAAAGAAAAAAAUAUAUUUGGGGUGUUCAAGCUUCCUGAAGGUAAUACCCGGGUAUUAGGUUUUGGGGCUAGGGUAAGGUUUAAGGUUUUUGGCGUAAGGGUUAAAAUCACUGUCCAAUAUUUUUUAAGGAACAUCUUUCAGACCUCUGGGAGUUAGUUAGACAAAAAAAAAAGAAAAAGAAAAAAAAAAAUUGGGGUGUUCGGGCUUCCUGAAGGUAAUACUAGGUUUCCUGGCUAGGGUAAUGUUUAAGGUUUUUGGUGUUAGGGUUAAAAUCAAUGUCCAAAACCUUUGUAGGAACUCUUUUCCAACCUUUGAGAGCAAGUUAGACCAAAAAAAAAAGAAAAAUAAAAAAUAUAUACACUCACCGGCCACUUUAUUAGGUACACCUGUCCAACUGCUCGUUAACACUUAAUUUCUAAUCAGCCAAUCACAUGGCGGCAACUUAGUGCAUUUAGGCAUGUAGACAUGGUCAAGAUAAUCUCCUGCAGUUCAAACCGAGCAUCAGUAUGGGGAAGAAAGGUGAUUUGAGUGACUUUGAACGUGGCAUGGUUGUUGGUGCCAGAAGGGCUGGUCUGAGUAUUUCAGAAACUGCUGAUCUACUGGGAUUUUCACGCACAACCAUCUCUAGGGUUUACAGAGAAUGGUCCGAAAAAGAAAAAAAUAUCUAGUGAGUGGCAGUUCUGUGGGCGGAAAUGCCUUGUUGAUGCCAGAGGUCAGAGGAGAAUGGCCAGACUGGUUCGAGCUGAUAGAAAGGCAACAGUGACUCAAAUAACCACCCGUUACAACCAAGGUAGGCAGAAGAGCAUCUCUGAACGCACAGUACGUCAAACUUUGAGGCAGAUGGGCUACAGCAGCAGAAGACCA